CCUACGGGUGGCAGCAGUGAGGAAUAUUGGUCAAUGGACGCAAGUCUGAACCAGCCAUGCCGCGUGCAGGAAGACGGCUCUAUGAGUUGUAAACUGCUUUUGUACGAGGGUAAACGCAGAUACGCGUAUCUGUCUGCAAGUAUCGUACGAAUAAGGCUCGGCUAACUCCGUGCCAGCAGCCGCGGUAAUACGGAGGAUUCAAGCGUUAUACGGAUUUAUUGGGUUUAAAGGGUGCGUAGGCGGUCGGAUAAGUUAGAGGUGAAAUACCGAGGCUCAACUUCGGAAUUGCCUCUGAUACUGUUCGGCUAGAGAGUAGUUGCGGUAGGCGGAAUGUAUGGUGUAGCGGUGAAAUGCUUAGAGAUCAUACAGAACACCGAUUGCGAAGGCAGCUUACCAAGCUACUUCUGACGUUGAGGCACGAAAGCGUGGGGAGCAAACAGGAUUAGAUACCCCAGUAGUC
rnacentral:rRNA from 1 species